GCGAGUGGUAAUUAUAACAAACUAUAGCUAUGAUGACUAAUUAAGUAGUAUAAGUUUGUUUAACCGCGUAAUUUUUCCUUAUAUUUUUAAUUAUGAUAAAAAGUAAACACACAGACAAUUAACUAAAGGAGGUUCAACAUGCAUUGUAUAUACGUAAACAAUAAUUUUAACUAUAUAAUAAAUAAUGUAAUUUUCCGUCGAAAGGAC
rnacentral:lncRNA from 1 species